rnacentral:rRNA from 1 species
AUACGUAGGGGGCGAGCGUUGUCCGGAAUGAUUGGGCGUAAAGGGCGCGUAGGCGGCCCGGUAAGUCUGGAGUGAAAGUCCUGCUUUUAAGGUGGGAAUUGCUUUGGAUACUGUCGGGCUUGAGUGCAGGAGAGGUAAGCGGAAUUCCCAGUGUAGCGGUGAAAUGCGUAGAGAUUGGGAGGAACACCAGUGGCGAAGGCGACUUACUGGACUGUAACUGACGCUGAGGCGCGAAAGUGUGGGGAGCAAACAGGAUUAGAUACCCUGGUAGUCCACACUGUAAACGAUGAAUGCUAGGUGUAGGGGGUAUCGACCCCUUCUGUGCCGCAGUUAACACAAUAAGCAUUCCGCCUGGGGAGUACGGCCGCAAGGUUGAAACUCAAAUGAAUUGACGGGG